AUGAACGCUGGCGGCGUGCCUAUACAUGCAAGUCGAGCGAACAGACGAGGAGCUUGCUCCUCUGACGUUAGCGGCGGACGGGUGAGUAACACGUGGAUAACCUACCUAUAAGACUGGGAUAACUUCGGGAAACCGGAGCUAAUACCGGAUAAUAUAUUGAACCGCAUGGUUCAAUAGUGAAAGACGGUUUUGCUGUCACUUAUAGAUGGAUCCGCGCCGCAUUAGCUAGUUGGUAAGGUAACGGCUUACCAAGGCAACGAUGCGUAGCCGACCUGAGAGGGUGAUCGGCCACACUGGAACUGAGACACGGUCCAGACUCCUACGGGAGGCAGCAGUAGGGAAUCUUCCGCAAUGGGCGAAAGCCUGACGGAGCAACGCCGCGUGAGUGAUGAAGGUCUUCGGAUCGUAAAACUCUGUUAUUAGGGAAGAACAAAUGUGUAAGUAACUAUGCACGUCUUGACGGUACCUAAUCAGAAAGCCACGGCUAACUACGUG
rnacentral:rRNA from 1 species